rnacentral:rRNA from 1 species
GACGAACGCUGGCGGCGUGCUUAACACAUGCAAGUCGAACGAGGAGCGAUGGAAGCUUGCUUCUAUCAAUCUUAGUGGCGAACGGGUGAGUAACGCGUAAUCAACCUGCCCUUCAGAGGGGGACAACAGUUGGAAACGACUGCUAAUACCGCAUACGAUCUAAACUCGGCAUCGAGGAUAGAUGAAAGGUGGCCUCUACAUGUAAGCUAUCACUGAAGGAGGGGAUUGCGUCUGAUUAGCUAGUUGGAGGGGUAACGGCCCACCAAGGCGAUGAUCAGUAGCCGGUCUGAGAGGAUGAACGGCCACAUUGGGACUGAGACACGGCCCAGACUCCUACGGGAGGCAGCAGUGGGGAAUCUUCCGCAAUGGACGAAAGUCUGACGGAGCAACGCCGCGUGAGUGAUGACGGCCUUCGGGUUGUAAAGCUCUGUUAAUCGGGACGAAAGGCCUUCUUGCGAAUAGUGAGAAGGAUUGACGGUACCGGAAUAGAAAGCCACGGCUAACUACGUG